rnacentral:rRNA from 1 species
GACGAACGCUGGCGGCGUGCCUAAUACAUGCAAGUAGAACGCUGAAGGAGGAGCUUGCUUCUCCGGAUGAGUUGCGAACGGGUAAGUAACGCGUAGGUAACCUGCCUGGUAGCGGGGGAUAACUAUUGGAAACGAUAGCUAAUACCGCAUAACAGUAGAUGUUGCAUGACAUUUGCUUAAAAGGUGCAAUUGCAUCACUACCAGAUGGACCUGCGUUGUAUUAGCUAGUUGGUGAGGUAACGGCUCACCAAGGCGACGAUACAUAGCCGACCUGAGAGGGUGAUCGGCCACACUGGGACUGAGACACGGCCCAGACUCCUACGGGAGGCAGCAGUAGGGAAUCUUCGGCAAUGGACGGAAGUCUGACCGAGCAACGCCGCGUGAGUGAAGAAGGUUUUCGGAUCGUAAAGCUCUGUUGUAAGAGAAGAACGAGUGUGAGAGUGGAAAGUUCACACUGUGACGGUAUCUUACCAGAAAGGGACGGCUAACUACGUG